GCGGAUCGGUGAGUAAUACCUAGGAAUCUGCCUGGUAGUGGGGGACAACGUUUCGAAAGGAACGCUAAUACCGCAUACGUCCUACGGGAGAAAGCAGGGGACCUUCGGGCCUUGCGCUAUCAGAUGAGCCUAGGUCGGAUUAGCUAGUUGGUGAGGUAAUGGCUCACCAAGGCUACGAUCCGUAACUGGUCUGAGAGGAUGAUCAGUCACACUGGAACUGAGACACGGUCCAGACUCCUACGGGAGGCAGCAGUGGGGAAUAUUGGACAAUGGGCGAAAGCCUGAUCCAGCCAUGCCGCGUGUGUGAAGAAGGUCUUCGGAUUGUAAAGCACUUUAAGUUGGGAGGAAGGGCAGUAAGCGAAUACCUUGCUGUUUUGACGUUACCGACAGAAUAAGCACCGGCUAACUCUGUGCCAGCAGCCGCGGUAAUACAGAGGGUGCAAGCGUUAAUCGGAAUUACUGGGCGUAAAGCGCGCGUAGGUGGUUCGUUAAGUUGGAUGUGAAAUCCCCGGGCUCAACCUGGGAACUGCAUCCAAAACUGGCGAGCUAGAGUAGGGCAGAGGGUGGUGGAAUUUCCUGUGUAGCGGUGAAUGCGUAGAUAUAGGAAGGGAACACCAGUGGGCGAAGCGACCACCUGGGGCUCAUACUGACACUGAGGUGCGAAAGCGUGGGGAGCAAACAGGAUUAGAUACCCCUGGU
rnacentral:rRNA from 1 species